UACGAAGGGGGCUAGCGUUGUUCGGAAUUACUGGGCGUAAAGCGUGCGCAGGCGGUUGUGCAAGACAGAUGUGAAAUCCCCGGGCUUAACCUGGGAACUGCAUUUGUGACUGCACAGCUAGAGUACGGCAGAGGGGGAUGGAAUUCCGCGUGUAGCAGUGAAAUGCGUAGAUAUGCGGAGGAACACCGAUGGCGAAGGCAAUCCCCUGGGCCUGCACUGACGCUCAUGCACGAAAGCGUGGGGAGCAAACAGG
rnacentral:rRNA from 1 species